UGUCUGCCCGGCUCUGUCUCUAAUAUAAUUUCCUCACCUAGCCCGUCUCUCUUUGCUCAGUUGAAUCUGAACAACCCUUGAAAGCAAUGUAAAUAUUUGCUCCCGGAAGAAACUGUGCCCAAGCCCAGGCUGAUCUUGCUACCCUCCUCCUGGGCAAAGCUGUUCCCUGGCCCAUUUGUAGCCUCGUGGGUACCACCCUCUCUGGCCCAUUCACAGACUAAUGAGGUACCACUCAUCCCUGCUGCAUCCCAUCUUGAUGACAUGCUCCUUCAGGGAAGAAACUGUGUCUUCUUUUCCAAACUGUGUAUUCUAGUAGUAAAUGCCACACCUUAGGCACUCUGAGCCCACGAGAGGGCUGGGUCUCAUUUGUUUAUUGGAAUAUAUGGCCCUGCAGCUGGAAUGUCACUGUGCGUCCCCUGUGAGCAAAUCUCCUGGGAUCCCUUGGCACUUAGCAGCUCUUGACCAGUUUUUUUGGUGCUUGUGCCGAGGAGGAUGGCUGGAGACUGUAGCCAGCAGCUGCAGAGCCCACCAUGCUGCAAGAGAGUCCAGCUUCGUGGAAAAGCAAGCCCAGUGAGUGUAGCGUCUAUGGGAGGGAUACCUUCUCAAUUACCUAGUCCGGCCAGUUCCCAGAUGUGAGCAUGCCUCCAACUCCUGCCUGCCAAGCCUAGCUGCAAUUCAUAGUCAACAGUUUCCUGGGCAAAUAAAAUGGUGAUUUGAA